GACGAACGCUGGCGGCGUGCUUAACGCAUGCAAGUCGAACGGAAAGGCCCCUUUGGGGGUACUCGAGUGGCGAACGGGUGAGUAACACGUGAGUAACCUGCCCUUGACUUCGGGAUAACUUCAGGAAACUGGGGCUAAUACCGGAUAGGAAUCCUUGCUGCAUGGUGGGGGUUGGAAAGCUUCGGGGGUUUUGGAUGGACUCGCGGCUUAUCAGCUUGUUGGUGGGGUAGUGGCUUACCAAGGCUUUGACGGGUAGCCGGCCUGAGAGGGCGACCGGCCACAUUGGGACUGAGAUACGGCCCAGACUCCGACGGGAGGCAGCAGUGGGGAAGAUUGAACAAUGGGCGGAAGCCUGAUGCAGCAACGCCGCGUGCGGGAUGACGGCCUUCGGGUUGUAAACCGCAUUCAGCAGGGGCGAAGCUUGUGGUGACGGUACCUGCAGAAGAAGCACCGGCUAACUACGUG
rnacentral:rRNA from 1 species